rnacentral:rRNA from 1 species
AUUGAACGCUGGCGGCAGGCCUAACACAUGCAAGUCGAGCGAGCGGCGGACGGGUGAGUAAUGUGUGGGAAACUGACUGAUGGGGGGGGAGAACUAUUGGAAACGGGAGCUAAUACCGCAUACCAUCGGAUGUGCCCAGAUGGGAUUAGCUAGAAGGUGGGGUAACGGCUCACCUAGGUGACGAUCCCUAGCUGGUCUGAGAGGAUGACCAGCCACACGGGAACUGAGACACGGUCCAGACUCCUACGGGAGGCAGCAGUGGGGAAUAUUGCACAAUGGGCGCAAGCCUGAUGCAGCCACGCCGCGUGUGUGAAGAAGGCCUUCGGGUUGUAAAGCACUUUCAGCGGGGAGGCGUUACCCGCAGAAGAAGCAACGGCUAACUCCGUGCCAGCAGCCGCGGUAAUUC